rnacentral:rRNA from 1 species
UUAAAUGGCCGCGGUACCCUAACCGUGCAAAGGUAGCGUAAUCACUUGUUUACUAAAUAUAGACCUGUAUGAACGGCACCACGAGGGCCACACUGUCUCCCCCCUUUAAUCAGUAAAACUGAUCCCCCCGUGAAGAAGCGGGGAUUCAAAUACAAGACGAGAAGACCCCAUGGAGCUUUAAACCAAGAGUCAACUGCUAAAUUUUAUAUCAUAAAUACCACAAUUAUGACUCAAAGUUUUCGGUUGGGGCGACCGCGGAGCAUAACAAAACCUCCACGAUGAAAGAACAUGAAAUUCUUACCCAAGAACCACACCACAAAGGACCACAAAUGUGACAUCCAUUGACCCAAAAGCUUGAUCAACGAACCUAGUUACCCUGGGGAUAACAGCGCAAUCCAUUUCAAGAGCCCAUAUCGACAAAUGGGUUUACGACCUCGA